ACCAUGCUCUGAUGAAAAAUUAUGUUGGUAGGGACAUCUGAAUUAACCUGAUGAAUGCCAACUUCUCUGACUGCAUGGU